UCGGGAAUUUUGGGCAAUGGGCGAAAGCCUGACCCAGCAACGCCGCGUGAAGGAUGAAGUAUUUCGGUAUGUAAACUUCGAAAGAAUGGGAAGAAUAAAUGACGGUACCAUUUAUAAGGUCCGGCUAACUACGUGCCAGCAGCCGCGGUAAUACGUAGGGACCAAGCGUUGUUCGGAUUUACUGGGCGUAAAGGGCGCGUAGGCGGCUUGUCAAGUCACUUGUGAAAUCUCUGGGCUUAACCCAGAACGGCCAAGUGAAACUGACAUGCUAGAGUGCAGAAGGGGCAAUCGGAAUUCUUGGUGUAGCGGUGAAAUGCGUAGAUAUCAAGAGGAACACCUGAGGUGAAGACGGGUUGCUGGGCUGACACUGACGCUGAGGCGCGAAAGCCAGGGGAGCAAACGGG
rnacentral:rRNA from 1 species